rnacentral:lncRNA from 1 species
ACUGCAAGGAGAUCGGGGCUGACGUGGCUGGCCAAUUCACAACCUGUCUCUAAUGUAUUCCCAUUUGAGAAACUGAUCAUGGACAGCUAAGUGAAAUGGUCUGACUUCUCUCCUGGAGGCUCCCUCACUCUCUUCUGCCAGAAAUGAGACCCGGGGAAAAACAGCGGUAUCAUCUAUAUCCCUGCUGAACUUCCUGUACUGCACAUAUUGGAGGACUCAGUCACCGACUUGCCUGUGGUUGCUAUGAGUCGCCUACAGAACUGAAAAUGGGAAGCAGAACUAGGCUGGUUGUACUCCUAACCACAAGGACACUCUCCUCCUCAAAUGAAAAGGCUCUAAUUAAAAGGCAGGAAAGAUCAGGUAUCUCUGGAGUUCACUUUUAAAAUUGUCAAAAAAAACCUCAAAGUCG